UACGUAGGGUGCAAGCGUUAAUCGGAAUUACUGGGCGUAAAGCGUGCGCAGGCGGUUAUGCAAGACAGAGGUGAAAUCCCCGGGCUCAACCUGGGAACUGCCUUUGUGACUGCAUAGCUAGAGUACGGUAGAGGGGGAUGGAAUUCCGCGUGUAGCAGUGAAGUGCGUAGAUAUGCGGAGGAACACCGAUGGCGAAGGCAAUCCCCUGGACCUGUACUGACGCUCAUGCACGAAAGCGUGGGGAGCAAACAGG
rnacentral:rRNA from 1 species